AUGUGGGUCAUCAUCAAAGUUGGACUAGACCGGAUCACGCAAAUCCUCCCUCAGUAUUCCUCACCACUCUCGGUCACGCACCAUUCCCUCGCCGCCAUGCUCCGCCUCCGGUGGUGCGUCCUCAACCACCUCCUCUCCUCUCCAUAUCUAGCCACUUCUCCCGCAUCCCAUCUCCACCGCCUCAUCUCCGCCACCGCGCCCGUCGCCGCCCCGAACGCCGCCUUCGCCGUGGAGGACUACCUCGUCGAAACCUGCGGCCUCACCCGAGCGCAGGCACUCAAGGCCUCCUCAAGUCCCCCUCCAACCCUGAUGCCGUCCUCGCCUUCCUCGCCGGCCUCGGCCUCUCCGGCACCGAUGCCGCCGUGGCCGUCGCGAAGGACCCCCAGGCUCCUCUGCGCCAAAGUGGAUAAAGCCCUGGCCUCCAACGCCGCGGGGCUCGCCGGCCUCGGCCUCUCGCGCUGUGAGAUCGCACGUAUCGUCUCGCUGGCCGGCUACUCCUUUGGCAAUAAAUCUGCCGUCUACAAGCUACAGUACUACCUGCCCCUCUUGGGCUCAUUGGAGAAGCUCCUCCACGCGAUGAAGUUCAAUUGCAAUCUCCUCACAUACAGCCUGGAGCGGGUCACCAAGCCCAACGUCGCGUUCCUCCGCGAGUGCGGGCUAGGUGCUUGUGAUAUUGCCAAGCUGUGCGUCGCUCGGCCCUGGAUGCUCACCCUCAACAUAGACCGCCUCUAG
rnacentral:rRNA from 1 species